rnacentral:rRNA from 1 species
AUGAUCUCUCGCCGAUCAAACCCGAGCGGCUUCGUCGUCUCAAGACUGGAGGCCAUGAAGGAGGCCGCCGCCGGCGCCAGCGAAGGUGACGGCCUGGAGUCCAGCGUCUUCUUCUGCGUGGCCGUGACGUCCAGGGGCAAGGACAGGCUAUCGUACUUCCGCUCCAGCGAGGUUGGCGAGGACGCGGAGGCGUCCCGUGCGCUGGCGGCGCUCUGCCUCGACCACGCGCCGGAGCACCACCAAUGGCACCACCACACCUACGACGGCAGGCGCACGUUCGCGGUCCUUGCAGCUGACGACGGCCGCACGUACCUCGCCGUCGCGGAGCCCACGCCGGGCAGCACCGAGGUCGUCCGCUUCCUGGAGCGCGUCCGUGACACGUGCGGUUCCGCGCCGAGGAGGAGGCUGCGCGACGAAGCAGUGUCCGGCCUUGUGCGGCAGUUCGUGCAAACGCUGCAGGCCGGGAUGAGCUCCUCCGCGGCUGCAAACUCGGUGAUGCUCCCCGGCGACGGUUCAUGGAGCGAGCACACGUCCGACAAGGACGAGGAGGCGCUGCCGGAGGAAGGCGCGCCACGCAGGCGGCCAGCACGGCCCUCCUGGAGGCGCACGUGGUGGCGGCGCCACGCCAUGGCCGUGAUCGGCGUGGACGUGGUGCUGUGCCUGGUGCUGUUCGGCGUGUGGAUGGCGGUGUGCCAUGGGUUCAGCUGCGUGCAGCGAUGA